UGUUUGUGUCUACGUGGGUGUGAUGCGUGCUGCUAAAUUCAAAAAUUCCAUUGCAAUUGUUGUUUUAUUUCUGUUAUGUGACAUAUUUCCAAAUGAAAUUAUGAAAAAACAGUUCAACAGUUACCAACGGGUUGAAGUCCACUAUAUGGAGAAAAAUCCAGGAAUGUUUUCCUCAAAAACCUUAAUUUCUUUUCAACUGAAGAAAGAAAGACAAACAUCUUGGAUGACGUGGGGGUGAGUAAAUUAUCAGGAAAUGUUGAUUCUGAAGUGAACUAAUCCUUUAAAUGAUAUAAUUUAAGCAUAUUCAUAAGUAACUUGCAUUUAUAAAUUCUUGAUGAGAAAAUGGAUUGACUCUCACCUGGAGGGUCAUCUUUUUCCGGUCCACAUCCUCCGGACUCCACCGUCAGGUUUUCAAAAGACUGAAAUAAAAGACACAGAAUGAACAAACAAUCCAAUACAGAAAAGGAAACACGUUUUAUCUUCCAUAUCUGC